CUAAGCUGGACAAGGACAAGGCCGCCUCCGCACAAACUAUCGCAGACUCGCCUCAGCCGCCCCAUUCGCAAAGCAGAUACACGUAGGCACAGGACAAGCCCGGCCCAACUCUCCGACAGACGUUUCCAUCCUCACACGCCCGACGCGACAACAACGCCGUGCGUCGCUGCUUUCUCCAGUGCACUAUCACGGCAGAUCCGCGCAGCGACGGCAGCGCGCGCACACACACACACACACACACACACACACUCACUAACACAGGCAGAGAGGCAGACGCGCGCCCAAGUCCGUUUACGCACUGCUGAGAGGAGAAGAUGACUGCCACCGUGUCGCUCUUCGAGCGCAACAAGCGUGUCUACCUCGAGGAAGAGUCGAAGCUGCAGGCUAUCGUGAGCAGCGACCAGUUCCUCCGCACGUUUCAGUCAUGGCUCGAUCAGAGCAUCUCACAGCUGGACUUCCAGUACGAGCGAUGCGAACAGCAGUUAUCGGAGCUGCAGCAGCACGUGACGGCGCCGAAAGGCGCCUUCUGGAACAGUAAGGCUGUCAUUGAGCACUGCAACCUGCACAUCGCGGAGCGCCGGCUUGUACGCCGCAACAUUGAGCUGGACGGGGAUCAGCAUGCAGAGCUGCCGGCGGUGAUUCAGCUCGUGUCGACGUUGCAGCAGACCAAGUCGCACUCCUUCAUCACCCCAAAGCAGCGCCGCUUCAUCGAGGAGUGCGAGGCGGAGCUGAAGUCCGUCGUCUUCGAGCCACGCGACCUCGUCUUCAUCACCAACGCGCUGCAGACGAAGCUCAUCGACGACGGCAAUACGCGUGGCGUCUUUGGCGACCUGACAGUGUUUCAGAACACGAUUGAGGAGCUCUCGCCAGAUAUCGAUCAGUGCGAGCAGCUGCUGGAGGCAAGCAUUGCGAAUGGCGAGAUGGGCCUUGCCGAGGACAUCUCGAAGCGCCAGCUGGACGUGUACGAGCACAUUUUGCGCCUCAUCACGGACCAGUACCCGGCCAUCUCCAACUACUACGCCGAGUCGCGCAACAGCGAACGUCGGCGGCGCUGGGCAGUGUUCCGCAUGGUGGAUCGCGAUAUCACCGCCGUAAUCGAGGCGAAGCACCGCCAAAUCGAAGCCUGCGAGGAGGACAUGCUCAAAAUACAGGAGCAGAUGGCCAACUACAACUCCGAUGACGCGCAGCAGCGCAAGCGCUACGAGGCCGACCGCGCCGAAUCCGACGAGUUCCUGCAGCAGAACAAGGAGAAGCAGCAAAGCGUGUGGAACCGCAUCUUCACCCUCUUUCAGGAUCUGCAGACAUGCUCGAGUGAGCUGGCGACGCUGGCGCAGCAGCGGCACAAGGAGGUGGAGCGGCGGCUCGAGAUGGAGGAGCGCGAGGCGGGGCGGCGGAGCGGGCACGAGAGCUUCCUGCAGGCCGCCGCGGAGCAUGCGCAGAAGCUGCAGGACACAAUCGACAAUGCCGCCGCCGCGCGUGACCUCGCGACGUCGCUCAACGACUUUGCGCUGGACGGCUGCGACAGCAUUGCUGCCAAGUAUGACAAGCAACAGAACGCGCUCGGGGAGAUGCUGCGGCUCGUGCAGCAGCACCAUUUCAAGCGCUUCUCUGACUACUACAUCGCCGCCAGCCGCUACCUCUACCGCAAGGAGCGACGGCUAAAGCAGAUGGACGAGGAAAUGCGGGCGAACAGUAUGCACCGUGAGAUCCUCUCCGACACACUGGACCCGCACGCGAAGGAGUAUGUGGAGGCGGACCAGCGGCUGGCGCUGCAGCGGCACGAGGUGGCGGAAGAAGUGAUGCGCAUCCGGCACAAGCUAGAGCGGGCAGAGCGGGCCGUCACGCCGACCUUGAGAUCUCUCGACUUUGCUGGCAUCGCGUACGUGCACCCUCGCAUUAUUGUAGAGAAGAUGAACCUCAGUCGCUGGAGCACCAUGCUAGACUACCGCACCCUCAUCAACUCGGAGAGCGACAGUGCAGCGACGGUUGUGCGCGAGACGGCCGCGAUCGAGAAGCUGCGGGGCGAUAUAGAGACGCAGAAGAUGUCGACGCGCAACCAGCAUCGACGCCAGCAGCGGCUGUGCAAUGUGAGGAAUGUUGACGACAUGAAGUCCUCAAGGACGCGCGGGUCGGUGCAACACGCUGGCGGUGCUGCGGGUAUCAAGCCGACUGCCACAGGCACAUCACUAGUCAAGUCAUCGCCGCUGGGCUUCGUUGAGCGAGUGCACGCGAUGAUUCAGCAGGACGGUACGCGCUCUGGCGGCGCCAGUGGUACAAACACAUCGUUGCCCUCGAAGGGCACGGCAAGCGGCGCGACCGCCUCGCCUCACACUUCGCGGCAGGUAGCAUAUUCGACGACGCACGUGGUGAACAGCAACGGCUCCGUCAUCCACACGAGCGCCGCUAAUGCCGCCGCGGUCGUAUCUGCUGCCCCUGCGCCACCGCCGACGCACAUGGAAGGGACGACGUUCCAGGCGCUCUUCGACUACCGCGCCCGCGCGCCAGAUGAGCUGACCUUUGAGGCCGGGCAACAAAUCGUAUGCAUCAGCCGCGCCCCGGAGGAGGGUUGGUUUAAAGGCGUGUGUAACCAGCGUACAGGACUGUUCCCGAUCAACUACGUUCAGUCGGUGCGCGAGGCACCCGAAGAACCGUGAUGAUUCGGAGAACACGCACGAAAGCGGAGACAGAGGUGCUGCGGUGAAGGAACGCAUCUGGGUGUCAGUGCGUGCAGGUGUGUGCGUGUGUGUGUGUGUGUAUGCGACGGAGGGGGAGGAGGAGGGCCAAGCAUCUGCGCAUGUUCACGCAUACGCGCCCGCCCACGAACGUGCGUGACGGCCUCUCCGUACGCACAUGUCCACCGUUCACUCCCCAUACACGACAGACACACACAAAAAAUCGAAUAGCAUCAAUCAAACGGCUUCCUCUCUUGUUGCGCUUCUCGCCCCGUCUCUGCCGGUGCGUGUGCCCUUCUCUUUUUCCCUCGGCCUCCUGAGUGCUCUUACCACCGACGCGCGCGCACAUUUUCAUGUGUGUGCUUUAUGUAAAAUAGAAGACCCUCCCUUCUCGUUUUCGUUGUUGUGCUGUACGCCUGUUCUGGAGCGGGUCGCUUCUCCGCGUGCGCGUGCUCGCAUGCGGGGGACGGAUGCGCGCUUUCCCGUCUAUUUACAUAUGUACAUGUGCUCUCCUUCAUUUGCCUGUGUGUCGGAUGCGGCGGCUCACAAGCAUGCGCGCACAGGCGGCAGCAGAGCAUGGGCACCUUUUCCACGCUCCUUUUUCAUGGCCCGGCCGAUUCUUAUAUAUAUAUAUAUAUGCAUAUGUACAUUUUUGGCUGCUGUGCCUCGUGCUCUCUCGUUGCGUGCUUGUGUGCGUGUGCCGCUGCCCUGACAUGACGUUUGUGUCGUGACCGGCUCCCUUUCUUUCCUCGAUGAUGACUUGCAACAAGAAAAGAGGCAAACGUGAAGGAAC
rnacentral:misc_RNA from 1 species